GUCGGCGUUGAAGAGCCAUAGCACCUAAUGAGAUCGCAUAUCAAAAAGAGACCGCGAGGACAGCAAAUGAGGUCAAGAAGAUGAAUGACAUGCUAACUUCUUAUAAUUUGACAUGUAAGAUUGCCGAAAGUGAGAAAGAGACAGAAUGAGACUUCAACGUGAGGUUGUUGUCCCCUCAGCGGUCCUCACAGUGAGCCAGACGUUUCAUUUUUUUGGGCCAUAAUUUUUACUGUGGAUGCAACCCACCCAUUUUUUUAUCCGGCGACUGAGUGUUGAGGCACUAGCUGGGAAUCGAACCUGCAACAUCUGCACAUUCAAAUGACAUCCAAGACAGUGGGUUCUCGGUGUACCACAGAGUUCUCUUCCUAUGGCAGUGAUGAAAUUUGAAAGUAAAGUGGUGCCUUGAGAUACAAGCGUAAUUCACUCUUUGCGGCUAACUCAAAACACUCCCCCAAAUCAUCUUUCCUCAUUGAAAUAAAUGGAAAUGCCAUUACUCCGAUUCGCUUUUUACAAGGAAAAUAUAAAACCUUAAAACUACCAUAUACAGUAGUCAUAAAAUAAUUAAAUAGAAUGUAAAUAAUUGAGUUUUUGCAUUGUGAUUAAUUCAUUGGCACUUGCGACUUGGCCACCGGGGGGCAGUAUAAUACAGUCACGCAAGACACAAUUGAAGAAGAGUUGACGUGACUCAGCUUAAGUACUAUUAGUUGUCUCUUUGCAGAGGAUAAAGAAGACGUGCAUGUUUCUCCAAAGUUUGUGUUCAAAUAUCCAUCCAAGAGUUUUCACUCCCUGAUAUUAGUUGUAAAUAGCUCAUUAAUGGUGUUUCCCAUUGUGUUUUAGCAUUAAGCUAGUAGACUUUAAGGCAAAGUUAUGCGGUUGUUUUGAAUAUGUAAGGUCUAAUUCUCUUUGUUUAAUGUUUAGUUCAACAGGAGGGGCCAAUUAACAGCUUGAAGACCUAUUUUGCUUUCUUUUUAAGGAAUAUUUCACUAGCGGGAAAACUGCUGCUUGUUGUGGAGUGAGUUAAGUUGUGUUCACUGCCACCACACAGCGCUCGUAUGGCACGUUUUUGCUCGCAAGAAAAAGAUCAAAAUCGGCCAAAUGAUGGCCUCCUAUCUCGAAAAACUCUCAAGUUGGGUCAUUAAUAUUCGAAGACACCUCUGUACAACUAAAAUCCCUGCAGUGGGCAGACAAUUUAUCCCACUGGUUUUCACUGUUGUUGGAGUGAAUCAGAGUGUGCAGGUGUAUGUAAUGACGAGGCAGCGAGUAUAUUUCUGCAAGGAAAUAAAGAAAAAGACAAAAAAAUGUUUUCCUGUUAUUAUCCUUUCCAUCUAAUCCCCCUCCAUGUGGGGCCCUCCUCUCCCACUUUUAAAGUGAGCCGUCCCCUUCAAGAGGCGUGCUUCCAUCUUUUAAAACAUCAGGGGGUGGUCAUGUGUUGAGAUCCUCAAAUCUCAGUUAUUCAUGAAAUGAUUCAGAAUACAAUUUUUUACCCUUAACUGCUUUAUUCUCCCAAAGCCGGACCGAUGCAUGACAUUUAAAAGAUAAGUAAGGCCAUUUGGAGUUAGCUAAUUCCGUCUUAUGUUCCUGAAGCGGCUCUCUACACCACAUAAAAACGCUUAUGAAAUAUUAAAAGCCUCUACAUUAGACAGCCAAUGACUGUGUGCAAACUAGCUGUGAGUAAGCGGCGGCGGGCCCCUGGUGCGAGGGGAGGAAAAGACGGAUUCGGCUUUUGUUGGAUUUACCUGUGAUCACAUCCCUGCAGAGCACUCGCCAGAACCCCGUCCUGCCCACCCCUCUGCACCCUCCCCCCCCCCCCCCCCUUCCCCAGUCUGUGGCUCUGCCCUCUCCACUAGGUGCAGCACUUCAGUGUAAUUGGCUAUGGCAGCCCCAUACCUGGCAGCAGUGCGGGCGACGGCGAGGUUCAUUGGAGCAUCGUCGUGUUGUCCUGCAGCGGGGGGACAGGACCGGAGCAGGGGGAUCGCGAUGGCUGCUCUGGCCACACAAGGAGCGCACUUCAAGCCGCAGCGGCCCUUUGGCCUGAGCGCCGCGGCCCCGCCAACCGCCCCUCACGUCUACCUUCCUGCACCGGGGAGAAGGAGAGCUGCUGCUCUGCAAAAGCCAAAGGAUGUGGGAAUAAGGAGGAGAUGCAUCACAUAAACAACGGCUGACAUCCUGAUGAGGAUAACAACGACGAUGACGAUAAUUACCUUCAGCAAUUAGAAAGCCAAAAUGGCCCCGAAUGACGACGCGGUGCGAGAUGAGCAUCAAGGCUCCCUGGAGGACACACGGCCCCUCCUUGCUUCCUCUUCCCUCCCCUUGU